UCCUGGCUAGUACGUCGGUAGAGCAUGAGACUCUUAAUCUCAGGGUUGUGGGUUCGAGCCCCACGAUAGGAG
rnacentral:tRNA from 1 species